rnacentral:rRNA from 1 species
GCCUACGGGGGGCAGCAGUGGGGAAUUUUCGUCAAUGGGCGCAAGCCUGAACGAGCAAUGCCGCGUGAACGAGGAAGGUCUUCGGAUCGUAAAGUUCUGUUGAAGGGGAAAAAGAGCGGAGAGAGGAAAUGGUCUCCGAUUGAUAUUACCCUUCGAGGAAGUCACGGCUAACUACGUGCCAGCAGCCGCGGUAAUACGUAGGUGGCGAGCGUUAUCCGGAAUGAUUGGGCGUAAAGGGUGCGUAGGCGGCCUGCUAAGUCUGGAGUGAAAGGUACCGGCUCAACCGGUACAGGCUCUGGAAACUG